rnacentral:lncRNA from 7 species
GGUUUGUGUUGGAAGAGUCCUGGAAGAUGAUAGAACCACAGGAUGGUGUGGCUUGGAAGGGUCCUGGAAGAUCAUAGAAUCACAGAAUGGUUCUUUGAAACAGCUGUGAAGGAUCCGUGAGCAAAUCCGCCGUCAGUAGUUGGUGCCGCGGGAAGGCCUGAGGUCCGACCUUUCCUCCAACGGCUUCAGUGUAACUUUGGAAAGACAGUGCUCACACCUGGUUUGUUCUAUCUGCCAGGACGUCACUCAGCUGCGUUGCGACGGCGACGGCGCGCCCUCAUUCAUGGCACGGCGUACAGCCGUCCGCGUGACGACGGCGCACGCGUGGCUGUGUAUCCAUAACAGCCGCGCUUCAGCGCGGCUGUCCCCUUUGGAUGCUGCCAUGGCGCGUCGUCCCACGCUGUGACGUCAUCGCCUUGCGCCCGGGUGAGGCGGCGGCCUCGAGGUUGUCCUGCUGUGCUCCGCAGUGCUCCAACGCCGCGGGGCGGCUCCGGGCGCCGCCUCAGCUUCUACAGGAGAGACGUUGUGGGUGAGACAGAGGGAACAUCAAAUGAGAAACUGGGAAGAGAUAUGAAGUAGCGGGACCAGUUUUUCUAAGUGAGUAUUCUAAUCAUGAGACCAAGUAUUGGGUGUUUGUGGGAACUGGAGGGUGUUUGAUUCGUGGGUUUUGAAGGGACCCCCAUGAGCAGAACUUGGAAUGAGAAAGGGAGCCAGGGCCGGAGACUGCUGCUGUAAACAGUGCUAUUUGUGAAGGGGGGGUGGAGAGGACGGGGCACUGGAAAUGAGAAUAGCCUUCAUCUGCAGAGAUCUAGGAAACCCGAAAUCCCAGUGCUAGAUGAUGCUGAAAUAUGAUGUUAGUAGUUCAUGUAACGAUGAGAGUUUGGAAAGUGAAAAAGGUUUGGGAAAGACAAGGCUGAGGAAGGCAGAGAUGAGCAAGGUGUAACAGGGAUGUCAGGAUUGAAGAGAGAUGAGUGGUAGGGAAGAACUGCUGAGGAACAGAGAUAGGGAGGAGAUUGGGAAGAACAGCAGCUGCUACUGUUGCUGCAAUAGAGCAGGGCCAUAGGACCCAGAGGUCCCUUCAGGAAGAGGUGGGGGGAGGGGGGGGCUGGAAGAGCCCAGGGAGGGCUCUGCCCCACAAACUGCAGGGAAAUGGGACACUGGUGGAGAAAUCCUAUCAAGCUGAGUGAGAGGAGAGGGAACCAUCUCUGAUCACAAAGCUGGAUGAUGGGAACCUGGGAAGUUUUCCGUAGCAGAUCCGCUGUUUAAACUACAGCUAGGGGAGAAGGAUAAAGAGGUUUAUUUUCUGGUGGGUACGGGUGCCUCUUACCACCCGUAGAUGGUUUUUGUAACAGUAGUAGGAGCUAGUGCCCAACAAGAAAAAGCUUACCUUUUGGGAUCAAUUAAAUAUAGGCUGAGAAAAUAAGUAGGAAUACAUAAAUCCUUGUACAUGCCAGGUUCUCCAAAACCGUUACCCUGGCAAGACUUAUUAGAACAAAUGGAUGCAGAGAUUAAAUUCAAUAAAACUGAAGCUAAGGGUCAAACAAGAUUA